rnacentral:rRNA from 2 species
UCACACCCGUUCCCAUGCCGAACACGGAAGUUAAGCUCUUCAGCGCCGAUGGUAGUUGGGGGCUUCCCCCUGUGAGAGUAGGACGCCGCCAAGC